rnacentral:lncRNA from 13 species
AGAGCAACGGGACGGGUCCCCAUCCUUUGCCAAUCAGCGUUCGUUUCCUUCCUGCUCAUCGCGAGAGCUUUUGUACUGUGUUUGAUUGAAGAGUUGCAGUGACCUCAUCCCUCCAGCAGCUGCUGCGACGAGGACCUCUUUUCCUGCAACUUUUUGUAUGAACUUCGAAGUUGAACAAUCGCAAAAGGAAGCAGACACUUGGAGUAAGCGGGAACAUCGCAUCAUCCUGAGAGACGGACACACACAGGGCAGGAGAAUGUACCAGACACUGACGCCUCUUAGUUCACAUUGCCCACCAGAGACCGAAGCAGCAUGCAGACCUGAGGAGAACCAACACUAGCUACAACGUUCUCCUCCUCCUCCAGUCCUCCCAGCCACCAAUGUUCUGUGAGGCUCUCUAUCCUCUCCUCUCCUCUCUGUCCUCUCCUCUCUAUCCUCUCCUCUCCCUGGGCAUAAUGAUCCAUCUCUACUGCUGAGCUCCACCUUACCCCACCUUACCCCCUAACCUCACCCCACCUUACCCUCUAACCUCACCCCACCUUACCCCCAAAUCUCACCCCACCUUACCCCCUAANNNNNNNNNNAGUACAGUAGCUAGAUGCACCUCUAUGGUCCUGGCUGGUCCUCAUUA